GAUGAAGAACGUAGCGAAAUGCGAUAAGUAAUGUGAAUUGCAGAAUUCAGUGAAUCAUCGAAUCUUUGAACGCACAUUGCGCCCGCCAGAAUUCUGGCGGGCAUGCCUGUUCGGGCGUCAUUUCAACCAUCAAGCCCCGGCUUGUGUUGGGGACCUGCGGCUGCCGCAGGCCCUGAAAACCAGUGGCGGGCUCGCUAGUCACUCCGAGCGUAGUAAUACAUCUCGCUCAGGGCGUGCUGCGGGUUCCGGCCGUUAAAAGCCUUAUUUACCCAAGGUUGACCUCGGAUCAGGUAGGAAGACCCGCUGAACUUAAGCAUAUCAAUAAGCGGAGGA
rnacentral:misc_RNA from 1 species